CCUACGGGAGGCUGCAGUGAGGAAUAUUGGUCAAUGGACGAGAGUCUGAACCAGCCAAGUAGCGUGAAGGAUGACUGCCCUAUGGGUUGUAAACUUCUUUUAUAUGGGAAUAAAAUGUUCCACGUGUGGGCUUUUGUAUGUACCAUAUGAAUAAGGAUCGGCUAACUCCGUGCCAGCAGCCGCGGUAAUACGGAGGAUCCGAGCGUUAUACGGAUUUAUUGGGUCUAAAGGGAGCGUAGGUGGAUUGUUAAGUCAGUUGUGAAAGUUUGCGGGUCAACCGUAAAAUUGCAGUUGAAACUGGCAGUUGUGAGUACAGUAGAGGUGGGCGGAAUUCGUGGUGUAGCGGUGAAAUGCUUAGAUAUCACGAAGAACUCCGAUUGCGAAGGCAGCUCACUGGACUGCAACUGACACUGAGGCUCGAAAGUGUGGGUAUCAAACAGGAUUAGAGACCCCUGUAGUC
rnacentral:rRNA from 1 species